rnacentral:rRNA from 1 species
AAUGGGCGAAAGCCUGACGCAGCAACGCCGCGUGCGGGAAGAAGGCCCUCGGGUUGUAAACCGCUUUCAGCAGGAACGAAAAUGACGGUACUUGCAGAAGAAGGUGCGGCCAACUACGUGCCAGCAGCCGCGGUGACACGUAGGCACCAAGCGUUGUCCGGAUUUAUUGGGCGUAAAGAGCUCGUAGGCGGUUCGGUAAGUCGGGUGUGAAAACUUUGGGCUUAACCCAAAGCCUGCAUCCGAUACUGCUGUGACUAGAGUUCGGUAGGGGAGCGGGGAAUUCCUAGUGUAGCGGUGAAAUGCGCAGAUAUUAGGAGGAACACCGGUGGCGAAGGCGCCGCUCUGGGCCGAUACUGACGCUGAGGAGCGAAAGCGUGGGUAGCAAA